rnacentral:rRNA from 1 species
UACGUAGGCAGCAAGCGUUGUUCGGAAUUACUGGGCGUAAAGAGUGUGUAGGCGGUGCUCCAAGUCUGGUGUGAAAUCUCCCGGCUCAACUGGGAGGGUGCGCUAGAAACUGGAAUGCUAGAGGAUGGGAGAGGUAAGCGGAAUUCCUGGUGUAGCGGUGAAAUGCGUAGAUAUUGGGAAGAACACCGGUGGCGAAGGCGGCGACCUGGUCCUUGACUGACGCUGAGGCGCGAAAGCGUGGGGAGCAAACAGG